rnacentral:rRNA from 1 species
AGUGAACGCUGGCGGUAGGCCUAACACAUGCAAGUCGAACGGCGGCACAGGAGAGCUUGCUCUCUGGGUGGCGAGUGGCGGACGGGUGAGGAAUACAUCGGAAUCUACUCUGUCGUGGGGGAUAACGUAGGGAAACUUACGCUAAUACCGCAUACGACCUACGGGUGAAAGCAGGGGAUCUUCGGACCUUGCGCGAUUGAAUGAGCCGAUGUCGGAUUAGCUAGUUGGCGGGGUAAAGGCCCACCAAGGCGACGGUCCGUAGCUGGUCUGAGAGGAUGAUCAGCCAAACUGGAACUGAGACACGGUCCAGACUCCUACGGGAGGCAGCAGUGGGGAAUAUUGGACAAUGGGCGCAAGCCUGAUCCAGCCAUACCGCGUGGGUGAAGAAGGCCUUCGGGUUGUAAAGCCCUUUUGUCGGGAAAGAAAUCCAGCUGGCUAAUACCCGGUUGGGAUGACGGUACCCAAAGAAUAAGCACCGGCUAACUUCGUGCCAGCCGCCGCGGUAA